rnacentral:misc_RNA from 1 species
GAUGAAGAACGCAGCGAAAUGCGAUACGUAAUGUGAAUUGCAAAUUCAGUGAAUCAUCGAGUCUUUGAACGCACAUUGCGCCCCCUGGUAUUCCGGGGGGCAUGCCUGUCCGAGCGUCAUUGCUGCCCUCAAGCACGGCUUGUGUGUUGGGCCCCGUCCUCCGAUCCCGGGGGACGGGCCCGAAAGGCAGCGGCGGCACCGCGUCCGGUCCUCGAGCGUAUGGGGCUUUGUCACCCGCCCUGUAGGCCCGGCCGGCGCUUGCCGAUCAACCCAAAUUUUUAUCCAGGUUGACCUCGGAUCAGGUAGGGAUACCCGCUGAACUUAAGCAUAUCAAUAAGCGGAGGA